AAUAGAUACCCGGGUAGUCCACCCCGUAAACGUUGGGAACUAGUUGUGGGGUCCUUUCCACGGAUUCCGUGACGCAGCUAACGCAUUAAGUUCCCCGCCUGGGGAGUACGGCCGCAAGGCUAAAACUCAAAGGAAUUGACGGGGACCCGCAUAAGCGGCGGAGCAUGCGGAUUAAUUCGAUGCAACGCGAAGAACCUUACCAAGGCUUGACAUACACCAGAACACCCUAGAAAUAGGGGACUCUUUGGACACUGGUGAACAGGUGGUGCAUGGUUGUCGUCAGCUCGUGUCGUGAGAUGUUGGGUUAAGUCCCGCAACGAGCGCAACCCUCGUUCUAUGUUGCCAGCACGUAAUGGUGGGAACUCAUGGGAUACUGCCGGGGUCAACUCGGAGGAAGGUGGGGAUGGACGUCAAAUCAUCAUGCCCCUUAUGUCUUGGGCUUCACGCAUGCUACAAUGGCCGGUACAAAGGGCUGCAAUACCGUGAGGUGGAGCGAAUCCAAAAGCCGGUCCCAGUUCGGAUUGAGGUCUGCAACUCGACCUCA
rnacentral:rRNA from 1 species